GUGGGCUUCCAGGAGCCAGGGCCCCUCCCUGGGGAGUCCCUCCAGAGGCACCCCUGGGUCAGCCUCACCCCCGGGCCUUGGAGAGGAAGGAGAAAGGGUGUCUGCAACCUCCCUCCCUGCUCACUAAGUCUCUGCCCCAAGCAACCGAGCAAGAGAAUAGUGAAGCGCCAAGUGAAGAGGGAAGGCAUCAGAGAAUGAGGCCCAAAAAAGAGGGCCCAGGAGGCACAAGAGACCAAACCACACAGCCAGAUGAAGAAACUGCCCUCCGCAAAGAUAAGCCCGUUUUCUGUGGACACAAAACCAAACAGCAGUAGAGUGAAGAACAAGAGCCGAAUUCUCCUUCGGCAGGGGGGUGUCUGCUUAGGGCUUUUGCCACACACCCCAAGAGAGACCAGCCACAGACUCUUGGGGAACUGGGGCUCCCCUGCACCUGGUUUUGAACACCAGGAAGGUUCACACACUCCCACAGAGAGUCCGUGGAUUGACCAGCCAUCAGGGUCCUGGAUUAUCUCCCAGGCUCCGUGAGAAGCUCUCUCUACCGUCCCCGCCUUCCCAAGGGACAUCCUACCUACAGGUGGGGUACGCAGCACCCUGCUCGUCCCAUCUCAGAGGUUCAGAGAGGCACAUCCCUGCCUUUUCUAUUUGCCGGCUGGUGCCUGAAAUCCAACCACUGGCCCAAGGCCUCACAGCAAAUAGUUUUCGUUUUCCUCUCAAGGGCUGGGUGAGCAGGAUGGAGAGGCCUGGCCUGGGCUGAGCCGUAGAGAAAGUGCAGUGUCCCUGUAGCACCUGCCAGGGUGCAGUAGCUUAGGGACAGCAGCAUUCCAGAUCUGGAUCGGGCCAGAGCAAGCUUGUUGUUGUGAAAAAAACAGAAAUCUGAGACCUGCACUUGUGUCAUGGCUCUGUUUUAAAUUUUAUCUUUUAAGGUGCAGAAAAAAAUACCUGAACACGUUUUUUUUCACAACACAAUUUUCCAACAACACAGAGGUUUACAGGACAAUAAAAGCCUCCCUCCGUCCCAUUCCUUUCCCACCCCUUGGCCCAGGAGAGCCACUGUCAUUUG